UAGGUAUUAAGUGAGUUCAGUAAUUAUAAAAAGAGAAAUCUACUUGCACUGUUUUUGACAAUUUUGCCUGUUCUGCAAAACAAAGAUGUAUACACACAAAUUGUUUGGAAAAAUAUAAAAAAUAUAUAAACAUGUUUAUUGGCAUAUAAAACAUUGUCACACUCAGUUUUCACUGCAAAUAAUUUCCAUUCACAACACUAAUAUUCCUUAACCAUCAUUGUUUGAGCAAAUAACAUCCAUGAAGAUUUAUUUUAUAAAGAAAUCACAUCAUCCAAAAUUUGUAUACAAUGACAUGUACAGUAAUAGUUCUAAUAAAAGCCAGGACUAGAACUCUGAUUGUCAUCACAGCCAUUUCCUUUCUGUCAAAUGUUUUUGUGUAUAACAGGUCCAAAUUAGUUGGUGCUAAUUUGCUAAAGAGCCUCCAAAGUGUGUCCAUCACAUUCCAUUCUUGUCCAGAGUUUCCUAUGGACUACAUGUUAAAGCUUUUUCUCCGGAUGCGUAUAUAUUACACCAUCAAGUUCGAAAACAGAAGACUGGCAACUCCAACUAAAAAAGGAAGAAAGAGCAGAAAGUACAUUAAAGUUAGCCAUCUAUAAAUAGCCGCAUAUAGUCUCUUUAUAAACUUAAACAUUUCGAAUACUAUCUGGGCUGCAUCUGAAUAAGUUGGGCAAAAUUUAGUAGAUAAAUAUCUAAUUCAAGAAAACAGUGAACUUAAAAAGACAUGUUUAUUAAACUUGGCAGAG